UACAGAGGCUGCGAGCGUUAUUCGGAUUCACUGGGCGUAAAGGGUGCGUAGGCGGCGUCAUAAGUCGGAUGUGAAAGCCCCGGGCUCAACCCGGGAAGUGCACCCGAUACUGCAUGGCUCGAGUACUGGAGAGGUUGGUGGAAUUCUCGGUGUAGAGGUGAAAUUCGUAGAUAUCGAGAGGAACACCGGUGGCGAAGGCGGCCAACUGGACAGAUACUGACGCUGAGACACGAAAGCGUGGGGAGCAAACAGG
rnacentral:rRNA from 1 species